UACGUAGGGUCCGAGCGUUGUCCGGAAUUACUGGGCGUAAAGAGCUCGUAGGUGGUUUGUCGCGUUGUUCGUGAAAACUCACAGCUCAACUGUGGGCGUGCGGGCGAUACGGGCAGACUUGAGUACUGCAGGGGAGACUGGAAUUCCUGGUGUAGCGGUGAAAUGCGCAGAUAUCAGGAAGAACACCAAUGGCGAAGGCAGCUCUCUGGGACGGUACUGACGCUGAGACGCGAAAGCGUGGGGAGCGAACAGG
rnacentral:rRNA from 1 species